GAGAGCCGUAUAAUUACGAAAGUAUCCCGUACGGUUCGGUGACGAGCCGUGUCAACCCUGCAAAGGGAAUGCGUCUUAGUUCAAUGAUUUGAUAACAAUAUUUAUCUUCUUAAUCGGU
rfam:Schizosaccharomyces pombe complete mitochondrial genome